rnacentral:rRNA from 1 species
AUUGAACGCUGGCGGCAUGCCUUACACAUGCAAGUCGAACGGCAGCACGGGAGCAAUCCUGGUGGCGAGUGGCGAACGGGUGAGUAAUAUAUCGGAACGUGCCCAGUCGUGGGGAUAACGUAGCGAAAGCUACGCUAAUACCGCAUACGAUCUAUGGAUGAAAGCGGGGGAUCGCAAGACCUCGCGCGAUUGGAGCGGCCGAUAUCAGAUUAGGUAGUUGGUGAGGUAAAGGCUCACCAAGCCGACGAUCUGUAGCUGGUCUGAGAGGACGACCAGCCACACUGGGACUGAGACACGGCCCAGACUCCUACGGGAGGCAGCAGUGGGGAAUUUUGGACAAUAGGGCGCAAGCUGAUCAGCAAUGCC